GAGGGAAUUGGCCGGAUUACCCU
rnacentral:snRNA from 1 species